rnacentral:rRNA from 1 species
GCAGUCGAGCGAAUGGAUUAAGAGCUUGCUCUUAUGAAGUUAGCGGCGGACGGGUGAGUAACACGUGGGUAACCUGCCCAUAAGACUGGGAUAACUCCGGGAAACCGGGGCUAAUACCGGAUAACAUUUUGAACUGCAUGGUUCGAAAUUGAAAGGCGGCUUCGGCUGUCACUUAUGGAUGGACCCGCGUCGCAUUAGCUAGUUGGUGAGGUAACGGCUCACCAAGGCAACGAUGCGUAGCCGACCUGAGAGGGUGAUCGGCCACACUGGGACUGAGACACGGCCCAAACUCCUACGGGAGGCAGCAGUAGGGAAUCUUCCGCAAUGGACGAAAGUCUGACGGAGCAACGCCGCGUGAGUGAUGAAGGCUUUCGGGUCGUAAAACUCUGUUGUUAGGGAAGAACAAGUGCUAGUUGAAUAAGCUGGCACCUUGACGGUACCUAACCAGAAAGCCACGGCUAACUACGUGCCAGCAGCCGCGGUAAUACGUAUGUGGCAAGCGUUAUCCGGAAUUAUUGGGCGUAAAGCGCGCGCACGUGGUUUCUUAAGUCUGAUGUGAAAGCCCACGGC